rnacentral:rRNA from 1 species
GUUGAUCCUGCCGGACCCGACUGCUAUUUGGGUGAGGAUAAGCCAUGCGAGUUGGAUGGGAUACCUAAACUUCCCAUAGCAAACUGCUUAGUAACACAUGAUCAACUUGCCCUAUGGAGAAAAAUAACCUCGGGAAACUGAGGAUAAUGUUUCAUAGUUGAAUAGGCUUGGAAAAGUUUUUCGAUGAAAGGAAUAAGAUAAAUGGAUCUUAUUUGCCAUAGGAUAGGAUCGUGGUCGAUUAUGGUAGUUGGUGAGAUAACGGCUCACCAAGCCGAUAAUCGAUAGGGGCCGUGAGAGCGGGAGCCCCAAGAUGGGUACUGAGACAGCGACCCAGGCCUUACGAGGCGCAGCAGGCGCGAGACCUCCGCAAUACACGAAAGUGUGACGGGGUUACCCAAAGUGUUCUCUUAAGAACUGUGGCAGGUGAGUAAUGUCCCCUGCUAGAAAGGAGAGGGCAAGGCUGGUGCCAGCCGCCGCGGUAAAACCAGCUCUUCAAGUGGUCGGGAUAAUUAUUGGGCUUAAAGUGUCCGUAGCCGGUCUAGUAAGUUCCUGGUAAAAUCGGGUAGCUUAACUAUCUGCAUGCUAGGAAUACUGCUAUACUAGAGGGCGGGAGAGGUCUGAGGUACUACAGGGGUAGGGGUGAAAUCUUAUAAUCCUUGUAGGACCACCAGUGGCGAAGGCGUCAGACUGGAACGCGCCUGACGGUGAGGGACGAAAGCCAGGGGAGCGAACCGGAUUAGAUACCCGGGUAGUCCUGGCCGUAAACGAUGCAUACUAGGUGAUGGUACGGCCAUGAGCCGUAUCAGUGCCGUAGGGAAACCGCUAAGUGUGCCGCCUGGGAAGUACGGUCGCAAGGCUAAAACUUAAAGGAAUUGGCGGGGGAGCACCACAAGGGGUGAAACCUGCGGCUCAAUUGGACCCAACGCCGGGAAACUUACCAGGGGAGACAGUAGAAUGACGGUCAGGUUGACGACCUUACCUGAUGAGCUGAGAGGAGGUGCAUGGCCGUCGCCAGUUCGUGCCGUGAGGUAUCCUGUUAAGUCAGGCAACGAACGAGAUCCGCGCCUUUAUUUGCCAACAAGAAGUUACGACUUCGUUGGGAACACUAAAGGGACCGCCGUCGAUAAGACGGAGGAAGGAGCGGGCAAAGGCAGGUCAGUAUGCCCCGAAACCCCUGGGCUACACGCGGGCUGCAAUGGUAUGAACAAUGGGCUGUAACUCCGAAAGGAGAAACCAAUCCCGAAAUCAUAUCACAGUGGGGAUUGUUGGCUGUAACCCGCCGACAUGAACGUGGAAUCCCUAGUAAUCGUGUGUCAUCAUCGCACGGUGAAUACGUCUCUGCUCCUUGCACACACCGCCCGUCGCUCCAUCCGAGUGUACUAAAAAUGAGG